rnacentral:rRNA from 1 species
AAGUCGUAACAAGGUUUCCGUAGGUGAACCUGCGGAAGGAUCAUUACCGAGUGCGUCCGUUAAUUCGGACUCCUCCCACCCUUGUGUAUUUUCGCUGAAAAGCAGCUUCGGCGGGCCGUCUAGCUCUGAGAAAUCGGAAGUGUUGACGUCGGCCUAGUGCGGAUUCGCGCCCGCCGAAGAACCAACUCUUGACAACUUGAAGUCUGAUAACAAACAAACAAAUAAGUCAAAACUUUCAACAACGGAUCUCUUGGUUCUGGCAUCGAUGAAGAACGCAGCGAAAUGCGAUAAGUAAUGUGAAUUGCAGAAUUCAGCGAAUCAUCGAAUCUUUGAACGCACAUUGCGCCUCCGGGUAUUCCUGGAGGCAUGCCUGUUCGAGCGUCGUUAAAGACCAUGAGGCUUUGCCUUGCGAUGAGCUUCCGGCCUUACGAGGUCGGUGGCUUCAAACCGAUUGGCGUCUGAAGUUAGCCCAAGCACAGCGAUAUGUGUNCUGUCUCUGACCGACGAUUGCCCGUACCCCAAAUCAUUUAAUUGGUCGACCUCGGAUCAGGCAAGAUUACCCGCUGAACUUAAGCAUAUCAAUAAGCGGAGGAAAAGAAACCAACAGGGAUUGCCUCAGUAACGGCGAGUGAAGCGGCAAGAGCUCAAAUUUUAAAUCUGCCUUUUAGGCCGAGUUGUAAUUUGUAGAGGAACGUUCGGUGACGUCUAGGUCCGAGUCUUCUGGAAGGAAGCGCCGAUGAGGGUGAGAGCCCCGUACGACCGACGACUUAGCCAUGUGAACGUCCUUCGAAGAGUCGAGUUGUUUGGGAAUGCAGCUCAAAGCGGGUGGUAAAUUCCAUCUAAAGCUAAAUAUUGGCCAGAGACCGAUAGCGCACAAGUAGAGUGAUCGAAAGAUGAAAAGCACUUUGGAAAGAGAGUGAAAAAGUACGUGAAAUUGUUGAAAGGGAAGCGCUUGCGACCAGACUUGAUCGUUCAGUUCAAGGGUUCUUCUGGACCCGGUACUUCUGUUUGAUCAGGCCAACNUCAGUUCGGACGGUUGGAUAAAAGCUUGGGGAACGUGGCUCCUCGGAGUGUUAUAGCCCCUCGCACAAUACAGCCCGACCGGACUGAGGAAUGCCUUUUGUAGGAUGUUGGCGUAAUGGUUGCCAGCGGCC